rnacentral:lncRNA from 1 species
UUCUGAAAUAUUCUUUAAUUUCUUCCCCUUUAGGGUUUAUCACAGAUGUUUGCUCCCCCUUAAUACAGCAAUUAUUAACAGCAAACAACAACAAAGAGAAGACAAUAUUUCAACAAGGAGAAUAUAUAUAACCAAAAUAUGAUCGACAUCAUUACAAAAGGUAGAAAUAUAAGUAAAAGAUGAUUCCAUAAAACCAUAAUUGUUUCAAUACAUAGUUUAUUAAUAUAAAAGUCAACCAGCCAAUUGUCAAUACAUGGCCCCAAAAUACAGAUCCUAGAACAAGACACUAAUACCUAGGAUCUAGUAAAGAUCAUGAGAAGUCAUGGAUCGGAGUCAUCAGAUAUGGGAUGAGAAGCUGAUGGAUCAGAAGUGCAUCCUCUACCCCGUCUGCCUCUGGCACGAGCAGGAGAGCGAGAUGAACUGGGAGGCUGAGAACGCUGAGAGGCUAAGGACUAAACAGAAAGGGUGAGUCUGAUGGAAUCAAGUACGUUCAGUGCUCUGAAAACAGACUGAAGUAGAGCAGUGAACUGAGUGGUUGCAUGCUCACUCGAUCCUCGGAUCUCUUUCCUCAGUAACUCAUAUCCACCCUCUAGUGCUCCUCUGAGUCUGCCAGCCUCUGCAGUGAGGUCUGUGACCUCAAUAGUGGACUCCUGUGGCUGAGGAUGGGCCAAAGCAAGGACUUGCCUCUGCAAGUCAAGAACUCUGCCAGUCAGUCUCCAGACAGUGUCCUCAAGCUGCUGAAUCCGAAUGGACUGAUCUGAUAUCAUCUGAAACAUAGUGGAUAUGUGGGGAGUCAUGGUCUGAUCAGAAGAAGU